CCCUUAGAUGUUCUGGGCGGCCCGCGCACUACAUUGGCACUCUCAAUAAGUUCCUAGAUCUAAAACUUUGGGGUACUCUAUUAAGUGGUGUCGUGACUGGGAUUAACCCUUGCAAUUAUUGGUUACGAACGAGGAAUUCCUUGUAAUCGCGGUUUAUCAGCCCGCGUUGAAUGCGUCCCUGCCCUUUGUACACACCGCCCGUCGCUCCUACCGAUGAAUCGUCCGGUGAAGUUCAUGGAGUGGUGGUUGUUCCAGCUGCUGUCGAAGUGAAAUGGACCUCACGAUUUAGAGGAAGGAGAAGUCGUAACA
rnacentral:rRNA from 1 species